rnacentral:rRNA from 1 species
GAUGAACGCUAGCGGCAGGCCUAAUACAUGCAAGACGAGCGGUAAGUCGAGGAGUAACCUGAGACCUAGAGCGGCGUACGGGUGCGUAACGCGUAUGCAACCUACCUCAUACAGGGGGAUAGCCCGGAGAAAUCUGGAUUAAUACUCCAUAGCACUGCAAAAGGGCAUCUGCGACCUGUGAAAGAUUCAUCGGUUUGAGAUGGUCAUGCGUCUGAUUAGCUAGUUGGCGGUGUACCGGACCACCAAGGCGACGAUCAGUAGGGGUUCUGAGAGGAAGGUCCCCCACACUGGCACUGAGAUACGGGCCAGACUCCUACGGGAGGCAGUAGUAGGAAAUAUUGGGCAAUGGACGAGAGUCCGACCCAGCCAUGCCGCGUGCAGGAAGAAUGCCUUCUGGGUUGUAAACUGCUUUUAUCUGGGAAGAAAAGGCCCAUGCGUGGGACAUUGCCGGUACCAGAUGAAUAAGCACCGGCUAACUCCGUGCCAGCCGCCGCCGUAAGAC